rnacentral:misc_RNA from 1 species
GGAAGUAAAAAACAAGGUUUCCGUAGGUGAACCUGCGGAAGGAUCAUCACUGAGUGAGGGCCCCUCGGGGUCCAACCUCCCACCCGUGUUUAACGAACCUUGUUGCUUCGGCGGGCCCGCCUCACGGCCGCCGGGGGGCAUCUGCCCCCGGGCCCGCGCCCGCCGAAGCCACCUGUGAACGCUGUCUGAAGUAUGCAGUCUGAGACAAUUAUUAAAUUAAUUAAAACUUUCAACAACGGAUCUCUUGGUUCCG